AUUGAACGCUGGCGGCAUGCUUUACACAUGCAAGUCGAACGGCAGCGCGGGCUUCGGCCUGGCGGCGAGUGGCGAACGGGUGUGUAAUACAUCGGAACGUGCCCAGUGGUGGGGGAUCGCUCCGCGAAAGCCGUAGUAAUACCACAUAAGACCUGAUGGUGAAAGCGGGGUAUCUUCGGACUUCCCGCUAUUUGGGGAGCCGAUGGCAGAUGAGCUAGUUGGUGGGGUAAAGGCCUACCAAGGCGACGAUCUGUAGCUGGUCUGAGAGGACGACCCGCCACACGGGGAAUGAGACAGCGCCCAGACUCCUAAGGGAGGCAGCGGUGGGGAAUCUUGGACAAUGGGCGGAAGCGUGAUCCAGAAAAGGCGCGAGUGUGAUGAAGGCCUUCGGGUUGUAAAGCACGUAGGGCGGUAACGAGAAGGCUUGUGCUAAGACCAAGGUUUGAUGACGGUACCCGAAGAAUAAGCACCGGCUAACUACGUG
rnacentral:rRNA from 1 species